rnacentral:lncRNA from 1 species
AAAAAACAAAAAAAAAAAACUUCUUCUACUCUUCGGCGUCUCCGACGGUUUCUUCCGCCGUAACGCCGCCGUCAGAUGCCGAAAUCUUCAGCUGAAAAAAAUCUGUAAUUCUCUCAAGAAUCUCAGUUUUCACUAUUCGAUUACCCUAAUUUUGGUUAAAGUUGAAUGAUGUACUUCUUUUGAGUUUGUCAUUUUACUUUGAAGUUUAAUUUUGAGAUCUGCUGCAAAUUUUGAGAUCAACAGUAUUUUUUUGCUGAUCUACGGAGAUUCGUAUGUCAGUCGGAUUUAGUCUCUGUAAGUCCACUUUGAUUCUCAUUUGAAAUUUCUUCUCCGAAAUCUAGCUAAGUUUUGUGCUAAUAUUGUCUAUUGUGUAUGAUUUUUUUUUUGAACUUUUGUGUUCGUUGUUGUUUAGAUCUUACUAGUAUAUUUGAAAUUAUGCAAUUAUUUUGUGUGAUUUUUUUGUUUGAAUUGAAAUUGAAUGUGAGUUGAAGUGUUUUGACUUGAAAUUGAAGAAGUUGAAAGGUGUCGGUUCUGUUGAAUUUGACAGAGUCAAUUGAUGACUUGAGCUGUAGUUCUUUCUGUACGGAGUAUGUGGUCUUUUGAAUAUAGAUUUAGAUCUGGAUAUUUAUUUCGAUGUAUAUAAUGGUUAAUGGAUUUAGCCUUGUUGGAUUUAUUAGUUAUUAUUUAAGGUUAGGAUAUUACUGAAAUGUUGAGUACUAUUGAAGGUCGAUCAGUGAGUUGAUUUCGAAUGAUGAAUUGUACAUUAAAGUAUUUCUCGUUUAAUUGCAGGCCUGUAACCAUGUAUUUUAUGCGAAUUGAGUUUUAUUUAUAAAAACCUGUGAGCUUUUGAAGGAUUUCGUAGGAAAAUCGGGCUGAAAUUCUGGAUUUAGAG